GAAAUGCGAUACGUAAUGUGAAUUGCAGCACUCGUGAAUCAUCGAAUCUUUGAACGCAUAUUGCGCUUUAUGGUAUUCCGUAAAGCAUGCCUGUUUGAGAAUCAUUUUAAUCUAUCACCCUCGGGUGGAUUUGGGCCUUCACAUUCUGAAUGCGUGGCCUUAAAUGCAUAGUUUGGUCUAGGGUUCUUGAUGGAACUCCGCGAAGCAUUACCAAUUGGGGUCCGCUCCAUUUUUGCCUAGCAGUUUUCCGCCCUUCAAGUCUCCGGAUGGCCGACUCAACCAAACAAGGCCCCGCGCCUUGACUUAUCCAGAGUUUGGUACCGCGACUCCCUUUGGGGGGCCGCAGUUGCCGCCUCUUGAUGACUUGGUCUCAAAUCAGGCAAGAGUACCCGCUGAACUU
rnacentral:misc_RNA from 1 species